CAAUGAAAUGUUACACUCCUGUGAUCUACAAGGGACUUUCACCUUGCAAGCCAAAUGCUAUUAAAAAUGCUGUUCUCCAGUCAGAGCAAGUUCAAUAUGUUAUCAAGCAGUUAGCAAGAGAGAUGGGAGAAUCACCCGAUAUUAUUCAAGAAGAAGCCAUGGAAAUCUUGGAUGAGAUGGGCCACAGUAUGCAAUUAGGAGCUGUCAGAUUUUUUGCGUUUACGUUGAGCAAAAUAUUUAAACAGCUUUUCCAGAGAGUUUGUGUGAAUGAAGAAGGAAUGCAGAGAUUGCAACACGCCAUUCAGGAGCAUCCAGUUGUUCUACUGCCCAGUCACCGAAGCUAUGUAGACUUUUGAUGCUG